rnacentral:rRNA from 1 species
ACCCCCUACGGGAGGCACAGUGGGGGGAAUAUUGCACAAUGGGGGGAAACCCUGAUGCAGCCAUGCCGCGUGUGUGAAGAAGGCCUUCGGGUUGUAAAGCACUUUCAGUAGGGAGGAAGGUAGUGUAGUUAACACCUGCACUAUUUGACGUUAGCGACAGAAGAAGCACCGGCUAACUCCGUGCCAGCAGCCGCGGUAAUACGGAGGGUGCGAGCGUUAAUCGGAAUUACUGGGCGUAAAGCGCAUGCAGGUGGUUUGUUAAGUCAGAUGUGAAAGCCCGGGGCUCAACCUCGGAAUUGCAUUUGAAAACUGGCAGACUAGAGUACUGUAGAGGGGGGUAGAAUUUCAGGUGUAGCGGUGAAAUGCGUAGAGAUCUGAAGGAAUACCGGUGGNGAAGGCGGCCCCCCUGGACAGAUACUG